UUGUCAGAGGGUAGUCUAUGAGGGCAUGU
rnacentral:piRNA from 1 species